AGCGAACGCUGGCGGCAGGCUUAACACAUGCAAGUCGAACGCCCCGCAAGGGGAGUGGCAGACGGGUGAGUAACACGUGGGAACGUACCCUUUGGUUCGGAAUAACUUGGGGAAACUCAAGCUAAUACCGGAUAAGCCCUUAUGGGGAAAGGUUUACUGCCGAAGGAUCGGCCCGCGUCUGAUUAGCUAGUUGGUGAGGUAACGGCUCACCAAGCCGACGAUCAGUAGCGGGUCUGAGAGGAUGAUCAGCCACACUGGGACUGCGACACGGCCCAGACUCCUACGGGAGGCAGCAGUGGGGAAUCUUGGACAAUGGGGGCAACCCUGAUCCAGCCCUGCCGCGUGAGUGUUGAAGGCCUUAGGGUUGUCAAGCUCUAUUACCCGGUACGAUAAUGACUGUACCGGGAGAAUAAGCCCCGGCUAACUUCGUGCCAGCCGCCGCCGUAA
rnacentral:rRNA from 1 species